rnacentral:tRNA from 1 species
GCCGACGUGGCGGAAUGGCAGACGCGCUGCGUUCAGGGCGCAGUGGGGUCACACCCAUGUGGGUUCAAGUCCCACCGUCGGCA